rnacentral:rRNA from 1 species
AUUGAACGCUGGCGGCAGGCCUAACACAUGCAAGUCGAACGAGUAGCGGACGGGGGAGUAAUGUCUGGGAAACUGCCCGCUGGAGGGGGAUAACUACUGGAAACGGUGGAUACUCCCACAUCCCAUCGGAUCUGCCCAGAUGGGAUUAGCUAGUAGGUGGGGUAAAGGCUAACCUAGGCGCAGAUCCCUAGCUGGUCUGAGAGGAUGACCAGCCACACUGGAACGGAGAAACGGUCCAGACUCCUACGGGAGGCAGCAGUGGGGAAUAUUGCACAAUGGGCGCAAGCCUGAUGCAGCCAUGCCGCGUGUAUGAAGAAGGCCUUCGGGUUGUAAAGUACUUUCAGCGAGGAGGCGUUACUCGCAGAAGAAGCAUCGGCUAACUCCGUGCCAGCAGCCGCGGUAAUUC